AUUGAACGCUGGCGGCAGGCCUAACACAUGCACGUCGAACGAGUGGCGGACGGGUGAGUAAUGUCUGGGAAACUGCCCGAUGGAGGGGGAUCACUACUGGAAACGGUCGCUAAUACCGCAUACCAUCGGAUGUGCCCAGCGGGGAUUAGCUAGUAGGUGGGGUAACGGCUCACCUAGGCGACGAUCCCUAGCUGGUCUGAGAGGAUGACCAGCAACUAUGUAACUGAGACACGUUCCAGAUUCCGACGGGAGGCAGCAGUGGGGAAUAGUGACAAAGGGGCGAAAGCCUGAUGCAGCCAGGCCGCGUGUAUGAAGAAGGCCUUCGGGUUGUAAAGUACGUUCAGCGAGGAGGCGUUACUCGCAGAAGAAGCACCGGCUAACUCCGUGCCAGCAGCCGCGGUAAUAC
rnacentral:rRNA from 1 species